UCGGAAUUGCUAGUAAUGGCAGGUCAGCAUACUGCCGUGAAUACGUUCCCGGGCCUUGUACACACCGCCCGUCACACCAUGAGAGUUAGGAAUACCCGAAGCCUGUGAGCUAACUUUAAUAGAGGCAGCAGUCGAAGGUAGAACUAAUGAUUGGGGUGAAGUCGUAACAAGGUAUC
rnacentral:rRNA from 1 species